rnacentral:pre_miRNA from 1 species
GAAAUACUCCCUCCGUCCAAAAAUACUUGUCAUCAAAAUGGAUAAAAAAGGAUGUAUCUAGAACUAAUAUACAUCUAGAUACAUCCUUUUUAUUGAUUUUGAUGACAAGUAUUUUCGGACGGAGGGAGUACUAC